AAUCCUCUAGUGCACAGGUAAAGUUUUCCCAGGGUGAGGCUCAGUCAUUGCACUUCAGGUGUGCUGAUCCCUGUGAUUUCCCCAAAUGUGAAGAACUCAACUGCAUAAUUUGUGGCAAUGGGAGAUUGCAUUUGUGUUUUCCCU
rnacentral:snRNA from 1 species